rnacentral:rRNA from 1 species
ACUUGAAAAAAGCACACGUUGAGAGCACCGGUUCUCGUCCGAUCAACGAAGUUAAGCAACGUCGAGCCUAGUGAGUACUUAGAUGGGUGACCGCUUGGGAAACCUAGGGUCUGUAAGCG